ACUCCUUUAGCUCAGUGGUAGAGCAUCAGAUUUUUAAUCUGAGGGUCAUGGGUUCGAGUCCCAUAGGGAGUA
rnacentral:tRNA from 1 species